UACAGUGUGCUACAGUGCUGUAACAGUAAUUUGGCACCUCCCAAAUUCCCCAACUAAACACGGCCAAAGCUUCUCUCACGCUCUGACCAGGUAUCACGAGUCAGGACUCGAGCUCGAGUAGCAGCAGAGGCGAGAGGCUGGCUUCUUUUUUCCCGUUUAGGCUAUUGGCAUCACCGCAUCAAGAGUAGCAGCUCAUCUAAUAAAUAAUAAUAGGUACCAACUCACAGAUAUAUUUGGAGAAAGAAAAUGUAUUAAAUCUGUAGUCGGAUUCGGCUUAAGCUUAGAGUAAGGUAACGGUAACUAAGAAAAACACAUGGUCAUUCAACCUGAACUUCGCAUGUGACGUUACAUGCCCGUUUCUCACUUGAGUAAGAUCAGCGUCAUGCAUAGCCUCGUCAUCAUAACUCAUACUCCAUCCCAAAUUACUAUUCGAUUUGAUUUUUCUAUAUAGCUUUUGAUAUGCAUCUAGAUAUAUACUAUGUAUGGUUAUAUACUAUGUAGAAAAGUCAAUUCGGAACGGAGGGAAUAAGUCAUAAGCAUGUGGUGUCAUCAGCAAGGGAGGUUUCUCAUAAACUUUAAAGAGAUUUUGUACGACGGGAAGUACUGUGAGUGUGAGGUAGUCGCAAAAGUGCCUUAUGUCAAAUGGAGCCUAAUAACAAUGCAGAAUAAGGACUGUGAUAUGGGACCACCAAAAACAAGAGCAAAGAUGACCCCGGUGCUGGGUUUUGUUUGGUUGAUCCCAAAGAAAAAGAAAAGGAGACCUAGUUAGCUACAGGCCUACACGUACAUCCCGCCUCAAAAGGAGAAGAAUCAAGUUUAUAUAGGUUUGCUUGGAGCACUCGAGGUCAAAUUUUGGGUACAGUGCUUUACUAAGGAGUACGUAGGGUGUGUGUGUAUAUAUAUAUAUGUCAAAGUCCUCCCCAAAGCCCAAAGCACCAGGGCUAACGUAAAAGUGUCGAUGGCUCGAUGCAAACAAGAGUACCGAUCACUAAC